rnacentral:rRNA from 1 species
AACGAACGCUGGCGGCAUGCCUAACACAUGCAAGUCGAACGAGACCUUCGGGUCUAGUGGCGCACGGGUGCGUAACGCGUGGGAACCUGCCCUUAGGUUCGGAAUAACUCCCCGAAAGGGGUGCUAAUACCGGAUAAUGUCUUCGGACCAAAGAUUUAUCGCCUUUGGAUGGGCCCGCGUUGGAUUAGCUAGUUGGUAGGGUAAAAGCCUACCAAGGCGACGAUCCAUAGCUGGUCUGAGAGGAUGAUCAGCCACACUGGGACUGAGACACGGCCCAGACUCCUACGGGAGGCAGCAGUGGGGAAUAUUGGACAAUGGGCGAAAGCCUGAUCCAGCAAUGCCGCGUGAGUGAUGAAGGCCCUAGGGUUGUAAAGCUCUUUUACCCGGGAUGAUAAUAACAGUACCGGGAGAAUAAGCUCCGGCUAACUCCGUG